rnacentral:rRNA from 1 species
ACAGAGGGCUCGAGCGUUAAUCGGAAUCACUGGGCUUAAAGCGUGCGUAGGCGGAUCUUCAGGCUUGUUGUGAAAUCCCACGGCUCAACCGUGGAAUUGCGAUGAGAACCGGAGAUCUUGAGUCAGGUAGAGGCGGGUGGAACGAUAGGUGGAGCGGUGAAAUGCGUAGAUAUCUAUCGGAACGCCAAAGGAGAAGUCAGCCCGCUGGGCCUGUUCUGACGCUGAGGCACGAAAGCGUGGGUAGCAAACGGG